rnacentral:lncRNA from 1 species
CCAGUGUCGUCUCACAAUUCCCCUUUUUGAGCCCACUCCCUCCCUGCCAGGCUUGACUGAAGAUGCCCUGUGCAAUGCUGCCUAAAACUAACUUUCCCUGCUUCUCAUGGCAAGAGAAGUUAUGGACUCAGCCAUGUCCUCUCCCUUUCUCUCUGGAAGGAGGCCACUUUUCUAUGAGGUGAGACAGAUUUUCAAGGAUAUUAAAAACACAAAUGAUCUUGUGCUUUUAGGACAGUGGGGCUGUCAGAGGGGCUAUCAUUUGUCAUCGACAACUAUUUCAGUAAGAGGCUUUAUGGCAUGCUCUGCCUUUGCGUAACUGAUAGGAGCCAUUUCAGGUGUCUUCAUAGGAGCAGAAGAUUGGCUAGGUGGACUGGAGUGCCUAGCUUGGACUUUAACAGAAGCUGCUAACUUGUUAAGAUGCCCAUUAUUGGCUGUUUAUAGUUAUAGUCUCGCUAUUCUCUGUUAAUUGUGAAAUAAAACC